rnacentral:tRNA from 1 species
UCUAUUUUGGCAGAUAAGUGCGAUGGGCUUAGAAUCCGUAUAUGUAAAGUUAAUAUUACAGAUAGAA